UGUCAGAUUUCAACUGCUUAUAGAAGAGGAAAAGAUAGUCUGUGAUGAACCCACUGUGGUGAGGAAGGAGAACAAAGGAGAGGAGAGAGCAUUUCUUGUUCAAUUCAGUAAUUGUAGAAGAACAGGGUUAAUUAGCCUGGAUACAGAACCUUUCCAAUGGAAGCACGUUUUCUUUGUUGACCCAGUCAAGUAUCUCUGUUUCAUGUUGUGGAACACUCACUACUCCUGCUGCCAAAGACUUCCCCAUGGAUAUGAGAAACAAGAAGUUCAGCUGUGCAGCUCUUGUGAGUGCAAAAAUAAUUUUAGCCUAAGCAGCUAAGGACUACAUAAACUCUCUUGGGGAUCCUGAUUGAAGAUAAGUACAUUCCUACAGUUACAUAAUUAAACCUUGAAGAGAGAAGAGAUUAUGAUUUACCCUGUCAUCUAUUGUAUGUG